rnacentral:rRNA from 1 species
UACGUAGGGGGCAAGCGUUGUCCGGAAUCAUUGGGCGUAAAGAGCGUGUAGGCGGCUUGGCAAGUCUGGUGUGAAAUCUUGCGGCUCAACCGCAAGCGGUCACUGGAAACUGCCUCGCUAGAGUCCGGAAGAGGGAGAGCGGAAUUCCUGGUUGUAGCGGGUGGGAAUGCGCAGAUAUCAGGAAGAACACCCGUGGCGAAGGCGGCUCUCUGGGACGGUACUGACGCUGAGACGCGAAAGCGUGGGGAGCGAACAGG